GCAAGUUUUAAAGAUGAGAUUUAAUGGUGAAAAGAGGUUCUCGUUAAUAUUUCUCACCACGCACACCACAAAUUCUGUGGCUGGCCCAGGUACUGUAAAUGUUACAAUCUUCAUAUGUUCAAGCUCAAAAGUCUUAGGACAAGCAAUCAGGCAAAAAAAAUCCAAAGUAGAAAUGAUUUAUUCCAGUAUAAGAAUACUUUACAGUACAGAAAGCCCCUCAUACAUGUGUCUGGACCACCACCAACUAAUAUUUUGCACUUAAGUAAAAAUUUAGUUUAUUGGCACUUCCAGAUAGUAGAACUACACUAAUAAGUCAAUACCGAUACUUUAGUUACUGACAAUAGGUACACAGAAAUAACAGUCUUUGCAUUGUGGUAUGUGAAACAUUAAGAUAAGUGGAUAACCAGUGUAUUUUUUUUCCAUGUGACCUUCCCUUAGCAAUCAUACAACAGUUAAAUUAGAUCAUGACCCAUUUGCUGACUUACUUAGUAUAUCAUGGUGGGUGUAGUAUCGCACUGCAUUUGGCUUGUAGGUAAGCACAGGGUUGUACUCAGAAGGUACUGCUGAUGAUAGUCUGGAAUUUAUAUAUACAUCCAGAUAUUUUUGUGCCAUUAUAUUAUUGCUGAGAUCUCACAGAACUCUCUUGAAGUAAUUCACUGCAAAUUAAGAAAUGUGUAUUUUCAUUUUCGGGAUUGGCAUAAGCAGAGAAUAGUUCAGUGCCAAAGUAACAGCACACUUCCUGUGCAUGCAGAUAUCUGGUGUUGUCACUUGCAGUUAUGUCAUAAUAAAAUAAACUAUCACAGUCCAUGUGAAGUCUCAAAGCCCAUGUACAGUAAGCAGCAUAGUAACACAUGAAGUACAUUUUAUUACUGAAACGUUUAACAUUUUAACAUACGACCAAUGGAAAAUAUUUUGCUGGCUAUAGUUAACGAUUAUGUUUAUAUACGUAUUGCACUGAGUGUCCUUUUAAAGAAAAGCUACACUCUGCAGCACUGUACAAUUGGGGAACAAUACUGUACAAUAUACAUAUAUCAAUACAAAAGGUAAAAAGGGCCUUGUCCUUGAGAUGAGUUCCAGCUACUGAAACUCUUUUAUAAUAAGUAAUUAAUAGUCUGUGCACUUACGGUUUGGAGGUUAAAAUGAGGAGUUGAGACAAGAGGUAGCAAGGUUAAUUUGGAGAAAAUGAAAUGGUAAUUGCAGCCUCUGGUAACACGUAAUGGGAAUGAGGAGUUAAUUGAGUGGGAUUUUAAGCAGCUGGAGACGUUUGCUAUAAAAUGCCAGGGUGGGCAGGAGGAAGGAUGGGUGAGUAGUGUUUCAAGGGAUAAUAUAGUCACCAGAACCAUUACAACUUAAUGUAGUAAUCUUGCGCUAUAGAAUGUCCCUGCAGCCUUAGCACUGUAAACACUGCCUUUUCGGAGAAAAAGCAGUCUUUACAUUGCUCCCUAGUAACACCUCUAGUGGCAGUCACUCAGACGGCCACUAGAGGUGCUUCCUUUGUCAGUGCCGCAGGGUGCACCAUUAGCGGUCAGCGUCUCCGCGCUCUGCAUGGAUGCAUUGAAUGCUUCCCAAGCGCUGCGUUGAUUCAAGCAAUCUCUAUGAGAUGCUGAUAGAUGCAGCACAGCGUUUUGCUGUAUAUGCGCAAUAGCCUCCCAAAGAUUUACUAUGGAAAAGUAUUGGAUUGGCUGAUAUUAUAAAGAUUGAUAAUUUGUGCCACUGAGCAAGGAUGAGUCACAGCAAGACCAGUGCAGCGUGAGAAUAAAGAUGCAUAAACUCACAUUUUCACUGGACAGAUGGGGGGGCCCGAGGCCUAAACAGCCACACCAGCAAUAUAGGGUCAGGAAUAAUGUUUGUAUUGUUUCUUUAAAGGAAAUUAAAUGCUGUGUCUUGAAGCCUUGAAGUCGCAGUGUUAGUUGGAAAAUUACUACUUCAGAUUGAAGUAGUUAUGUGUCAAUGUACUGAUCCUGCAGUCUUUCCAAAAAAAAAAAAAAAAAGUCAACCUUACAGAAUAAGGCCUUGUGAAGAGACCAAUCUCACCACUGUGCAUUGGAGGAGCCUGGUUGCCCGCCUGCUGCCUUUAGACUAUGGCCCCAUGUUGAAACGCUUGAUUUUCCCCUGCACAGACAUGAAAGCCGGUUCAUUCGGUGACAGCUGGUCUCUGCCCACCUUGCAACCCACCAAUUCAGCAUACCAGUCCCCCACACAGCUUUGGUGAGGCACCUGGACAUGGACAACUUUUCCCCGUACUCAGGUGUAGUAACCAUUUAUUGUGGGUGGGCUGUACUACUAAUUGUGUUUUAUGGGUGGGUUGCUGGACUAACUAGGGCACUGACCGGCAGGAGGUCAGAUACCCUGUUAGUCUGUUUGGAAAAGGGGAGAGAUGUGACAAGACCAAUCUCGCCACUGUGCAUUGGAGGAGCCUGGUUGCCCACCUGCUGCCUUUAGACUAUGGCCCUAUGUUGAAAUGCUUAAUUUUCCCCUGCAAAGACACGAAAGCCGGGUCAUUCGGUGCUUGCCCUGUUUGAGCGGUGAUACCCCAGAUAGCUAUGCCAUGGAGCCCAUUCGUAUAAUGAAAUACUAUGGGAAAGACUUUGGCUCCAUGGCAAUUGAACUGUAUGUGUGUGAUCUGAAUGCCAUUCAGUAAUAAUGUGCGCUCAGAUCUGAGCUAUCUGGGGAUAUGUUGAAUGUACCUGUUUUAUGCAAUGGCUGCACAGUUAUAUAUUUUUAUGUAUUUUAUUGUCUUUUGCUGCCAUGUGUUCAAUGGAGUUUUGCCUCUCUCCUUGGAGAUAAUUGGAUUACUUCCCAAUUAUCUCCAUGAUAGAAGACUCUGUGGAACUGGUUUUGGGCAGAAAAGCCAUGCUUCAUUUGGUCACAAAGGACUUUGAUCUAUCUUUUGAACCACUGGACCAAUUUGGAUGAUUUUGACAUAUGUUUGUAUUUGGAGUAUGCUGAUUCUGAAAAUGUAAGUUUAUGUGAAUGUG